rnacentral:rRNA from 1 species
UACAGAGGUCCCAAGCGUUGUUCGGAUUCACUGGGCGUAAAGGGUGCGCAGGUGGCUGGGUAAGUUUGAUGUGAAAGCCCUGGGCUCAACCUGGGAAUUGCAUUCGAAACUAUCUGACUCGAGUAUGGGAGAGGGAAGCGGAAUUUCCGGUGUAGCGGUGAAAUGCGCAGAUAUCAGGAAGAACACCCGUGGCGAAGGCGGUUCUCUGGGACGGUACUGACGCUGAGACGCGAAAGCGUGGGGAGCGAACAGG